GCGAUGGAGGCAUCCCUGCCCUUGACCAGAAGGACAAUGCAGGGACAUCUACAGAGGAGAGUUCUGAAGAAGAGGAGGACGAAGAGGAGGAGGAUUCUGACGGCUUUGCUGAGAAAGAAGGAGUAGAAUCUGAGGAGCCUGACGUUGAGGGUUCCUGUAAUGAGUCAGAGUCGGCUCCUCAACCUGAUGCAGAGGUUUCCCUUGCUAAAGAUGUGCCCCCCAAGCCAUGCUGUGAAAAAUGCAAGGCUGUCCAGCAG